rnacentral:rRNA from 1 species
AUACGGAGGGUGCAAGCGUUAUCCGGAUUCAUUGGGUUUAAAGGGUUCGUAGGCGGAUAAAUAAGUCAGUGGUGAAAUCCCGAAGCUCAACUUCGGAACUGCCAUUGAAACUGUUUAUCUUGAAUUUAGUUGAAGUGGGCGGAAUAUGACAUGUAGCGGUGAAAUGCAUAGAUAUGUCAUGGAACACCAAUAGUGAAGACAGCUCACUAAGCUAAUAUUGACGCUGAUGAACGAAAGCAUGGGUAGCGAACAGGAUUAGAAACCCCGGUAGUCC